GAUGAACGCUAGCUACAGGCUUAACACAUGCAAGUCGAGGGACCGGCGCACGGGUGAGUAACACGUAUCCAACCUGCCCUUUACUCGGGGAUAGCUUUUCGAAAGAAAGAUUAAAACCCGAUAUAAAGGAUGGGAAUGCGUUCCAUGGGGUUUUGGGUGAGGUAACGGCCCACCAAGCCUUCGAUGGAUAGGGGUUCUGAGAGGAAGGUCCCCCACAUUGGAACUGAGACACGGUCCAAACUCCUACGGGAGGCAGCAGUGAGGAAUAUUGGUCAAUGGGCGUUAGCCUGAACCAGCCAAGUAGCGUGAAGGAUGAAGGCUUAUGGGUCGUAAACUUCUUUUAUAUAAGAAUAUGUAUUAUAUGAAUAAGGAUCGGCUAACUCCGUGCCAGCAGCCGCGGUAAUUC
rnacentral:rRNA from 1 species